rnacentral:rRNA from 1 species
AUGAACGCUGGCGGCGUGCCUAAUACAUGCAAGUCGAGCGAACGGACGAGAAGCUUGCUUUUCUGAUGUUAGCGGCGGACGGGUGAGUAACACGUGGAUAACCUACCUAUAAGACUGGGAUAACUUCGGGAAACCGGAGCUAAUACCGGAUAAUAUUUUGAACCGCAUGAUUCAAAAGUGAAAGACGGUCUUGCUGUCACUUAUAGAUGGAUCCGCGCUGCAUUAGCUAGUUGGUAAGGUAACGGCUCACCAAGGCAACGAUGCAUAGCCGACCUGAGAGGGUGAUCGGCCACACUGGAACUGAGACACGGUCCAGACUCCUACGGGAGGCAGCAGUAGGGAAUCUUCCGCAAUGGGCGAAAGCCUGACGGAGCAACGCCGCGUGAGUGAUGAAGGUCUUCGGAUCGUAAAACUCUGUUAUUAGGGAAGAACAUAUGUGUAAGUAACUGUGCACAUCUUGACGGUACCUAAUCAGAAAGCCACGGCUAACUACGUG